rnacentral:ncRNA from 12 species
GGGGUGUAGCUCAGUGGCAGAGCGUCCGCUUUGCAUGCGGAAAGUCCAGGGUUCAAACCCCUGCUCCUCC